rnacentral:rRNA from 1 species
UUAAAUUGAAGAGUUUGAUCAUGGCUCAGAUUGAACGCUGGCGGCAGGCCUAACACAUGCAAGUCGAACGGUAACAGAAAGCAGCUUGCUGCUUUGCUGACGAGUGGCGGACGGGUGAGUAAUGUCUGGGAAACUGCCUGAUGGAGGGGGAUAACUACUGGAAACGGUAGCUAAUACCGCAUAACGUCGCAAGACCAAAG